rnacentral:ncRNA from 1 species
AGGUCUUGGUCUUAAACCUCACAUUGUUUUUACCCCAUACCCAUACAUGCAAGCCUCACCAUUACAGUGAAAUAGCCUACCACUAACACACAGAGCAGGUAUCAGGUAUAUCACCCACAACGCCAAGCAACUAGCCACACCCCCACGGGCCUGCAGCAGUACUUAAUAUUGGGCCAUAAGCGGAAGCUUGACCUAAUAAUGGGGUUACUAGGGCCGGUUAAUCUCGUGCCAGCGACCGCGGUUAUACGACAGACCCAAAAUAAUGUCAUCGGCGUAAAGCACGACUUAAAAAUAGUUACCAAAUUAGGACUAAGAAUAAGCUGGGCUGUAAAAAGCCAUAAGAUAACUAAAACACCCAUCCUAAUCUAAAAACCACUUCAACUCGUGAAAGCAGGGAUACAAACUAAGAUUAGAUACCUUACUAUGCCCUGCCAUAACACGGCAAUCAAAUAACCAAUUGCCCGCCAAAUAACUACGAGUAAAAACUUAAAAUUUAAAAGACUUGACGGUACUUCACAACAACCUAGAGGAGCCUGUCCAAUAACCGAUAAUCCACGAUUAACCCCACCCGUUUUUGCCCAACAGUCUAUAUACCGCCGUCGCCAGCUUACCUUGCAAAAGAAACAAAGCAAGCCAAACUGAACUACACUAACACGACAGGUCGAGGUGUAACUCAUAAACGGGUCAAAGAUGGGCUACAUUUUCUUACCAGAAAAAACGAACCGAGCAUGAAACAACAACCCGAAGGCGGAUUUAGCAGUAAGAUAAAAAUAGAACAUUUACCUGAAACUAAUGCAAUGAAGUGCGUACACACCGCCCGUCAUCCCUGUAGAACACCAUAAACAUACAUAAACAUAAAUACCUCUCAAAGCAGGGCAAGUCGUAACAUGGUAAGCGUACUGGAAGGUGUGCUUA